CCGGAUUUAUUGGGUUUAAAGGGUGCGUAGGUGGUUUGUUAAGUCUGCUGUGAAAUCCCCGGGCUCAACCUGGGAAUGGCAGUGGAUACUGGCAAGCUAGAGUGCGGUAGAGGGUAGUGGAAUUCCCGGUGUAGCAGUGAAAUGCGUAGAGAUCGGGAGGAACACCAGUGGCGAAGGCGGCUACCUGGACCAGCACUGACACUGAAGCACGAAAGCGUGGGGAGCAAACAGG
rnacentral:rRNA from 1 species